GUGGAGUAGAGCGUCUGGCGGAGGACGGUAGCGGAGACGCCGGUGAAGAGCGCGGCGGCGCCUUCGGAUCGGAAGAUCUGGGCGCCGACGGCGAUGGGGCCAGGACGGGGCGGCGGAGCCGCCAAGGAAACCGAUCCGCCGCCGGGGGAGUGAAAGGCGAGCGCCGGGCGGAGGUUGGCGGCGGCGGGAAUGGGGGCGGGCUCGCCCUGGAGCUGCAUCCUGACCUUGAUGAGGUCAAGGGGGUGAGUGGAGCAGCCGGCGACGAUGGAGGCGAUGCCGCCCUCGAGGAAACCCUUG
rnacentral:misc_RNA from 1 species